AUUGAACGCUGGCGGCAGGCCUAACACAUGCAAGUCGAGCGGAUGAAGGGAGCUUGCUCCUGGAUUCAGCGGCGGACGGGUGAGUAAUGCCUAGGAAUCUGCCUGGUAGUGGGGGAUAACGUCCGGAAACGGGCGCUAAUACCGCAUACGUCCUGAGGGAGAAAGUGGGGGAUCUUCGGACCUCACGCUAUCAGAUGAGCCUAGGUCGGAUUAGCUAGUUGGUGGGGUAAAGGCCUACCAGGGCGACGAUCCGUAACUGGUCUGAGAGGAUGAUCAGUCACACUGGAACUGAGACACGGUCCAGACUCCUACGGGAGGCAGCAGUGGGGAAUAUUGGACAAUGGGCGAAAGCCUGAUCCAGCCAUGCCGCGUGUGUGAAGACGGUCUUCGGAUUGUAAAGCACUUUAAGUUGGGAGGAAGGGCAGUAAGUUAAUACCUUGCUGUUUUGACGUUACCAACAGAAUAAGCACCGGCUAACUUCGUG
rnacentral:rRNA from 1 species